rnacentral:lncRNA from 1 species
CUUGUGUACAAUUCGGAAAUUAGUAUGGCGUUCAUUAUCACUGAACUAGUAUAUAUUUGUUUAGGGGCCAGCUGAAGGACGCCUCCAGGUGCGGGAAUGUCUCGCUACAUUGAAGACCUGUUAGUGACCUUCUGCUGUUGUUUUUUCUAUGGUCGGGUUGUUGUCUCUUUGACACAUUCCCCAUUUCCAUUCUCAAUUUUAU